GAUGAACGCUAGCGGCAGGCUUAAUACAUGCAAGUCGAGGGGCAGCAGGACUGUAGCAAUACAGUUGCUGGCGACCGGCAAACGGGUGCGGAACACGUACGCAACCUACCCAAAACUGGGGGAUAGCCCGGGGAAACCCGGAUUAAUACCUCGUAACCUUUUUAAGUGGCAUCACUUGAUAAGUAUAGCUCCGGCGGUUUUGGAUGGGCGUGCGCCUGAUUAGGUAGUUGGUGCGGGUAACGGCCCACCAAGCCUGCGAUCAGUAACUGGUGUGAGAGCACGACCAGUAACAAGGGAACUGGGACACGGGCCCGACUCCUACGGGAGGCAGCAGGAAGGAAAAUUGGUCAAUGGACGCAAGUCUGAACCAGCCAUGCCGGGUGAAGGAGGAAGGUCCUUUGGAUUGAAAACUUCUUUUAUGGGGGACGAAACCCGGAUAUUCUUAUCCGAUUGACGGUACCUAAGGAAUAAGCACCGGCUAACCCCGU
rnacentral:rRNA from 1 species